AAGUGCAUCACCAGAAGAGUGAUGCAACAAACCACCUUCCUCACUCUAGAACAAGACCUGUUCCAUGAGCAAGAAGCAACAAUAAACAUCCCAUACUCGAAACGAGGCAGCCAAAGACAGAAAGAAGAAAGGAACGGCUGGGAUACCAGAAACAGACAGACUCACUCAUCCUCAGCCAGCUGAACCCAAAAGACAAAUCAGCACCAUGGACCAAGUCUAAGGCAUAAAAACAAGUUUCUCCUCAAAGAUGGCAUGUACUGUGAGAGAGAACUGGUUAAGAUGUUUAAUCUUGCUGGGUGCUGGAGACAGGACCCAGCGCUUACACACUGGGUUAUACAACAACCGCUGGAGGAUGAGCCAAGCUGCCUACAAGUUAUGCAAGGAACUGAAGGAAAAUAGUUUUUGUGAGUCAUCAUUCCUUCUGGGGUCAGAAAUUCAGUGAUGGAGAUGCCUUUGAGUCAUCCAUGUUUCAGUCUAGAAGAGACAGAAAAAUACUCAAGACAAAUACUCAAAUCACAUUCAACAUUCUUACAGUCCUGUUUCUAAGCCCUUGCGGGGAGAGGAGGAGGGAGAUGCUGGGGAGUAAACCCUGGCCCACGCACACUAUGGUACUACACUGCCUCCAGUCCUGAAAGAAAUUCUGCUGUCAUUUUACUUUGUGACUUUUAAGACCUCGUUUACUGCCAGACAUGUACUCAGGGCUUCAAGAACAUGAGUUAUUUAAAGGACCGAAGGCAGAGCUGAGAAGCCCGACCAUCUCACGGCACAAACCUGUAUCUGUGCCAUAAAAAGCAGAAGGCAUCUAUCUCAUGAGUGGCUGGUGCCAGCAGGAGCUGACUCACAGAGCAAGUCCCACCAACUGGCAGCCUGACUCAAUGGGAACAACUGCAGUAGUAGUCAAUGGAGGCGGGAAGCAGCAGAGAACAAGACCAGAAAAUGCUACAGUGAGGGGGCAGUGACGACGUAACACUUCCUCUCCACCAUAAUCAUUCAGCUUAUGAGUCAAAUGGCCAACAAAAAAACCAAAAGACACCCACAGCAAUAAAUCAAUGAAAAACAUUACCAACUUUAAAUACAGUCAUACUGCAGAAAUACUGGUACUCAAGAAAAUUGGACACUUAAUUCAAAUUUUUAAGAGUUUGGUUUAAAGGCUAAGAAAAAAAAUUUGUUUGUUUUGUUUUUUUGCCAGCAUGUACCAAGAUUUGAGAACAAGUACUAAGAGUUAAACUAUGGCUACCUAAAGCCUAAUGUGCAUCAGGAUCCCAGGGGACUUGGACCUAGUGCAUAGUGUGUGUGGUUCCAUGGGUGUGGGUGGGCCUCAGAACUUACAUUUCUUCUCUGUAAUUUUUAUUAAUAAUUUCAUGAAUGUACCUAAUAUAUUUUGCUCAUUUCUACCCUAAUUAUCCACUCUCAUGCCCAUCCCACUCCUGAUGACUGCCUUAUUGCCAAGAAGUCUCAGCC